rnacentral:rRNA from 1 species
GGGCGUAAGGGCUCGCAGGCGGUUUCUUAAGUCUGAUGUGAAAGCCCCCGGCUCAACCGGGGAGGGUCAUUGGAAACUGGGAAACUUGAGUGCAGAAGAGGAGAGUGGAAUUCCACGUGUAGCGGUGAAAUGCGUAGAGAUGUGGAGGAACACCAGUGGCGAAGGCGACUCUCUGGUCUGUAACUGACGCUGAGGAGCGAAAGCGUGGGGAGCGAACAGGAUUAGAUACCCUGGUAGUCCACGCCGUAAACGAUGAGUGCUAAGUGUUAGGGGGUUUCCGCCCCUUAGUGCUGCAGCUAACGCAUUAAGCACUCCGCCUGGGGAGUACGGUCGCAAGACUGAAACUCAAAGGAAUUGACGGGGGCCCGCACAAGCGGUGGAGCAUGUGGUUUAAUUCGAAGCAACGCGAAGAACCUUACCAGGUCUUGACAUCCUCUGACAACCCUAGAGAUAGGGCUUUCCCUUCGGGGACAGAGUGACAGGUGGUGCAUGGUUGUCGUCAGCUCGUGUCGUGAGAUGUUGGGUUAAGUCCCGCAACGAGCGCAACCCUUGAUCUUAGUUGCCAGCAUUCAGUUGGGCACUCUAAGGUGACUGCCGGUGACAAACCGGAGGAAGGUGGGGAUGACGUCAAAUCAUCAUGCCCCUUAUGACCUGGGCUACACACGUGCUACAAUGGACAGAACAAAGGGCUGCG